rnacentral:rRNA from 1 species
AGUGAACGCUGGCGGUAGGCCUAACACAUGCAAGUCGAACGGCAGCACAGUAAAAGCUUGCUCUUACGGGUGGCGAGUGGCGGACGGGUGAGGAAUACAUCGGAAUCUACUUUUUCGUGGGGGAUAACGUAGGGAAACUUACGCUAAUACCGCAUACGACCUACGGGUGAAAGCAGGGGAUCUUCGGACCUUGCGCGAUUGAAUGAGCCGAUGUCGGAUUAGCUAGUUGGCGGGGUAAAGGCCCACCAAGGCGACGAUCCGUAGCUGGUCUGAGAGGAUGAUCAGCCACACUGGAACUGAGACACGGUCCAGACUCCUACGGGAGGCAGCAGUGGGGAAUAUUGGACAAUGGGCGCAAGCCUGAUCCAGCCAUACCGCGUGGGUGAAGAAGGCCUUCGGGCUGUAAAGCCCUUUUGUUGGGAAAGAAAAGCAGCAGGUUAAUACCCCGCUGUUCUGACGGUACCCAAAGGAUAAGCACCGGCUAACUUCGUG